GACGAAUGCUGGCGGCGUGCUUAACACAUGCAAGUCGAACGGAAAGGCCCUGCUUUUGUGGGGUGCUCGAGUGGCGAACGGGUGAGUAACACGUGAGUAACCUGCCCUUGACUUUGGGAUAACUUCAGGAAACUGGGGCUAAUACCGGAUAGGAGCUCCUGCUGCAUGGUGGGGGUUGGAAAGUUUCGGCGGUUGGGGAUGGACUCGCGGCUUAUCAGCUUGUUGGUGGGGUAGUGGCUUACCAAGGCUUUGACGGGUAGCCGGCCUGAGAGGGUGACCGGCCACAUUGGGACUGAGAUACGGCCCAGACUCCUACGGGAGGCAGCAGUGGGGAAUAUUGCACAAUGGGCGGAAGCCUGAUGCAGCAACGCCGCGUGCGGGAUGACGGCCUUCGGGUUGUAAACCGCUUUCGCCUGUGACGAAGCGUGAGCGACGGUAAUGGGUAAAGAAGCACCGGCUAACUACGUG
rnacentral:rRNA from 1 species